GACGGGUGAGUACGCGUAGGUAAUCUACCCUUAUAACUGGGAUAACAUUGGGAAACUGGUGCUAAUACCGGAUACACUUCUUUACUGCCGGGUAAAGGAGGAAAGGUGGCCUCUUCAUGAAAGCUACCGUAUAGGGAUGAGCCUGCGUACCAUUAGCUAGUAGGCGGGGUAACGGCCCACCUAGGCAACGAUGGUUAGCGGGUCUGAGAGGAUGAUCCGCCACACUGGAACUGGAACACGGACCAG
rnacentral:rRNA from 1 species